rnacentral:rRNA from 1 species
AUUGAACGCUGGCGGCAGGCCUAACACAUGCAAGUCGAACGAGUGGCAGACGGGUGAGUAACACGUGGGAACGUACCUUUCGGUUCGGAAUAAUCCAGGGAAACUUGGACUAAUACCGGAUACCGAUAGAUCGGCCCGCGUCUGAUUAGCUAGUUGGUGAGGUAAUGGCUCACAAAGGCGACGAUCAGUAGCUGGUCUGAGAGGAUGAUCAGCCACAUUGGGACUGAGACACGGCCCAAACUCCUACGGGAGGCAGCAGUGGGGAAUAUUGGACAAGGGGCGCAAGCCUGAUGCAGCCAUGCCGCGUGAGUGAUGAAGGCCUUAGGGUUGUAAAGUACUUUCAGCGGGGAGGCGUUACCCGCAGAAGAAGCACCGGCUAACUCCGUGCCAGCAGCCGCGGUAAUAC